AUUGAACGCUGGCGGCAGGCCUAACACAUGCAAGUCGAACGAGUGGCGGACGGGUGAGUAAUGUCUGGGAAACUGCCUGAUGGAGGGGGAUAACUACUGGAAACGGUCGCUAAUACCGCAUACCAUCGGAUGUGCCCAGAUGGGAUUAGCUAGUAGGUGGGGUAAAGGCUCACCUAGGCGACGAUCCCUAGCUGGUCUGAGAGGAUGACGAGCCACACUGGAACGGAGACACGGUCCAGACUCCGACGGGAGGCAGCAGUGGGGAAGAUUGGACAAUGGGCGCAAGCCUGAGGCAGCAAGGCGGCGUGGAGGAAGAAGGCCUUCGGGUUGUAAAGUACUUUCAGCGGGGAGGCGGUACCCGCAGAAGAAGCAACGGCUAACUCCGUGCCAGCAGCCGCGGUAAUUC
rnacentral:rRNA from 1 species